GGCCCCAUAGCAUAAUCUGGAUAGUGUAGAAGGUUUCGACCCUUCUGGUCUGGGUUCGAAUCCCAGUGGGGUCG
rnacentral:tRNA from 1 species